rnacentral:rRNA from 1 species
GACGAACGCUGGCGACGUGCUUAACACAUGCAAGUCGAACGCUGAAGCUUGGUGCUUGCACUGGGUGGAUGAGUGGCGAACGGGUGAGUAAUACGUGAGUAACCUGCCCUUGACUCUGGGAUAAGCCUGGGAAACUGGGUCUAAUACUGGAUACGACAUGUCACCGCAUGGUGGUGUGUGGAAAGGGUUUUACUGGUUUUGGAUGGGCUCACGGCCUAUCAGCUUGUUGGUGGGGUAAUGGCUCACCAAGGCGACGACGGGUAGCCGGCCUGAGAGGGUGACCGGCCACACUGGGACUGAGACACGGCCCAGACUCCUACGGGAGGCAGCAGUGGGGAAUAUUGCACAAUGGGCGGAAGCCUGAUGCAGCGACGCCGCGUGAGGGAUGACGGCCUUCGGGUUGUAAACCUCUUUCAGCACGGAAGAAGCGAAAGUGACGGUACGUGCAGAAGAAGCGCCGGCUAACUACGUG